rnacentral:rRNA from 1 species
AGAAUUUGAUCCUGGCUCAGGACGAACGCUGGCGGCGUGCCUAACACAUGCAAGUCGAGCGAGAAUCUUAUGAAUGAUCCUUCGGGUGAAUGAUUAAGAGAAGAGCGGCGGACGGGUGAGUAACGCGUGGGUAACCUGCCCUGUACGCACGGAUAACAUACCGAAAGGUAUGCUAAUACGGGAUAAUGUAUUUUGAUCGCAUGGUCGAAAUAUCAAAGCUCCGGCGGUACAGGAUGGACCCGCGUCUGAUUAGCUAGUUGGUGAGGUAAUGGCUCACCAAGGCGACGAUCAGUAGCCGACCUGAGAGGGUGAUCGGCCACAUUGGAACUGAGACACGGUCCAAACUCCUGCGGGAGGCAGCAGUGGGGAAUAUUGCACAAUGGGCGAAAGCCUGAUGCAGCAACGCCGCGUGAGCGAUGAAGGCCUUCGGGUCGUAAAGCUCUGUCCUCAAGGAAGAUAAUGACGGUACUUGAGGAGGAAGCCCCGGCUAACUACGUGCCAGCAGCCGCGGUAAUACGUAGGGGGCUAGCGUUAUCCGGAAUUACUGGGCGUAAAGGGUGCGUAGGUGGUUUCUUAAGUCAGAGGUGAAAGGCUACGGCUCAACCGUAGUAAGCCUUUGAAACUGAGAAACUUGAGUGCAGGAGAGGAGAGUAGAAUUCCUAGUGUAGCGGUGAAAUGCGUAGAUAUUAGGAGGAAUACCAGUUGCGAAGGCAGCUCUCUGGACUGUAACUGACACUGAGGCACGAAAGCGUGGGGAGCAAACAGGAUUAGAUACCCUGGUAGUCCACGCCGUAAACGAUGAGUACUAGCUGUCGGAGGUUACCCCCUUCGGUGGCGCAGCUAACGCAUUAAGUACUCCGCCUGGGAAGUACGCUCGCAAGAGUGAAACUCAAAGGAAUUGACGGGGACCCGCACAAGUAGCGGAGCAUGUGGUUUAAUUCGAAGCAACGCGAAGAACCUCACCUAAGCUUGACAUCCUUUUGACCUCUCCUUAAUCGGAGAUUUCCCUUCGGGGACAGAAGUGACAGGUGGUGCAUGGUUGUCGUCAGCUCGUGUCGUGAGAUGUUGGGUUAAGUCCCGCAGCGAGCGCAACCCCUAUUCUUAGUAGCCAGCAUUUUGGAUGGGCACUCUGAGAAGACUGCCAGGGAUAACCUGGAGGAAGGUGGGGAUGACGUCAAAUCAUCAUGCCCCUUAUGACUUGGGCUACACACGUGCUACAAUGGCGUAAACAAAGAGAGGCGAACUCGCGAGGGUGAGCAAAUCUCAAAAAUAACGUCUCAGUUCGGAUUGUAGUCUGCAACUCGACUACAUGAAGCUGGAAUCGCUAGUAAUCGCGGAUCAGAAUGCCGCGGUGAAUACGUUCCCGGGUCUUGUACACACCGCCCGUCA